GUCCUUUAGAUUAGAAUUUAAGGUCUAACCUGCCCAUUGAUUAAUUUAACGGCCGCAGUAAUUUGACUGUGCAAAGGUAGCAUAAUCAUUAGUUUUUUAAUUAAAAGCUCGUAUGAAUGGUUGGACGAAAUAAAAACUGUCUCUAAAUAAUAAGUAAAAUUUAAUUUUUAAGUUAAAAAGCUUAAAUAUUUAUAAAAGACGAGAAGACCCUAUAGAUCUUUAUAUAAUUAUUUUUAAUUUUAUUUUAGAUUAAUUAAAAAGUUAAAAAAAUUUAUAUUUUAUUGGGGUAAUAAAAAGAUUAAAUAAAUUCUUUUUUAUUAAACAUAAAUUAAUGAUUAUAUGAUCCAUUUUUAUUGAUUAUAAGAUUAAGUUACCUUAGGGAUAACAGCGUAAUUUUUUUAGAGAGUUCUUAUCGAUAAAAAAGUUUGCGACCUCGAUGUUGGAUUAAAAAUUAUUUUAGGCGUAGAAGUUUAAAAUUUUGGUCUGUUCGACCAUUGAAUUUUUACAUGAUCUGAGUUCAGACCGGUGUAAGCCAGGUCGGUUUCUAUCUUUAUAAAAAUAAAAUAUUUUAGUACGAAAGGACCAAAUAUUAAAUAUAUUUAUAUUUAUAAGUUUUGAUUAA
rnacentral:rRNA from 1 species